rnacentral:rRNA from 1 species
AUUGAACGCUGGCGGCAGGCCUAACACAUGCAAGUCGAACGAGUGGCGGACGGGUGAGUAAUGUCUGGGAAACUGCCUGAUAGAGGGGGAUAACUACUGGAAACGGUGGCUAAUACCGCAUACCAUCGGAUGAGCCCAUAUUGGAUUAGCUAGUAGGUGGGGUAAAGGCUCACCGGGGCGACGAUCUCUAGCUGGUCUGAGAGGAUGACCAGCCCCACUGGAACUGAGACACGGGCCAGACUCCUACGGGAGGCAGCAGUGGGGAAUCUUGCACAAUGGGCUCAAGCCUGAUGCAGCCAUGCCGCGUGUAUGACGAAGGCCUUAGGGUUGUAAAGUACUUUCAGCGGGGAGGCGUUACCCGCAGAAGAAGCACCGGCUAACUCCGUGCCAGCCGCCGCGGUAAUAC